AUUGAACGCUGGCGGAAUGCUUUACACAUGCAAGUCGAACGAUGAAGUCUAGCUUGCUAGACGGAUUAGUGGCGAACGGGUGAGUAAUAUAUCGGAACGUAUCCAUUAAUGGGGGAUAACUAGUCGAAAGAUUGGCUAAUACCGCAUACGUCCUACGGGAGAAAGCUGGGGAUCGUAAGACCUGGCGUUAAUGGAGCGGCCGAUAUCUGAUUAGCUAGCUGGUGAGGUAAAGGCUCACCAAGGCGACGAUCAGUAGCUGGUCUGAGAGGACGACCAGCCACAGUGGAACUGAGACACGGUCCAGACUCCUACGGGAGGCAGCAGUGGGGAAUUUUGGACAAUGGGCGAAAGCCUGAUCCAGCCAUUCCGCGUGAGUGAAGAAGGCCUUCGGGUUGUAAAGCUCUUUCGCAAGGGAAGAAAACUUAUCCUCUAACAUAGGGUGAGGUUGACGGUACCUUGAUAAGAAGCACCGGCUAACUACGUGCCAGCCGCCGCGGUAACAC
rnacentral:rRNA from 1 species